rnacentral:rRNA from 1 species
GAGUUUGAUCCUGGCUCAGAACGAACGCUGGCGGCAGGCUUAACACAUGCAAGUCGAACGAAGGCUUCGGCCUUAGUGGCGCACGGGUGAGUAACACGUGGGAAUAUACCUUUCGGUGGGGGAUAACGUCGGGAAACUGACGCUAAUACCGCAUACGCCCCUUGGGGGAAAGAUUUAUCGCCGAGAGAUUAGCCCGCGUCCGAUUAGCUAGUUGGUGAGGUAACGGCUCACCAAGGCGACGAUCGGUAGCUGGUCUGAGAGGAUGAUCAGCCACACUGGGACUGAGACACGGCCCAGACUCCUACGGGAGGCAGCAGUGGGGAAUAUUGGACAAUGGGCGCAAGCCUGAUCCAGCCAUGCCGCGUGAGUGAUGAAGGCCUUAGGGUUGUAAAGCUCUUUCGGCGGGGACGAUGAUGACGGUACCCGCAGAAGAAGCCCCGGCUAACUUCGUGCCAGCAGCCGCGGUAAUACAUGAAGGGGGCUAGCGUUGUUCGGAAUUACUGGGCGUAAAGCGCACGCAGGCGGUUUGGUCAGUCAGAAGUGAAAGCCCCGGGCUCAACCUGGGAACUGCUUUUGAUACUGCCAAGCUUGAAUCACGGAGAGGGUAGUGGAAUUCCGAGUGUAGAGGUGAAAUUCGUAGAUAUUCGGAAGAACACCGUGGCGAAGGCGACUACCUGGCCGUGCGAUUGACGCUCAUGUGUGGUAGUCCACGCCGAUAAACGAUGAGUG